GGGGAAUUUUCCGCAAUGGGCGCAAGCCUGACGGAGCAAUACCGCGUGGAGGAUGACGGCCUAUGGGUUGUAAACUCCUUUUCUUAGAGAAGAAGUCCUGACGGUAUCUAAGGAAUAAGCAUCGGCUAACUCCGUGCCAGCAGCCGCGGUAAGACGGAGGAUGCAAGUGUUAUCCGGAAUUAUUGGGCGUAAAGCGUUUGUAGGUUGAUUUAUAAGUCUAUUGUUAAAUCCAGAAGCUUAACUUCUGUCAUGCAAUAUGAAACUAUAUCUCUAGAGGAUGGUAGGGGUAGAAGGAAUUCCUAGUGUAGCGGUGAAAUGCGUAGAUAUUAGGAAGAACACCAAAGGCGAAAGCAUUCUACUGGGCCAAUCCUGACACUGAGAGACGAAAGCUAGGGUAGCGAAUGGGAUUAGAUACCCCUGUAGUC
rnacentral:rRNA from 1 species